rnacentral:rRNA from 1 species
GUGAACGCUGGCGGUAGGCCUAACACAUGCCAGUCGAACGGCAGCACAGUAAGAGCUUGCUCUUACGGGUGGCGAGUGGCGGACGGGUGAGGAAUACAUCGGAAUCUACUUUUUCGUGGGGGAUAACGUAGGGAAACUUACGCUAAUACCGCAUACGACCUACGGGUGAAAGCAGGGGAUCUUCGGACCUUGCGCGGUUGAAUGAGCCGAUGUCGGAUUAGCUAGUUGGCGGGGUAAAGGCCCACCAAGGCGACGAUCCGUAGCUGGUCUGAGAGGAUGAUCAGCCACACUGGAACUGAGACACGGUCCAGACUCCUACGGGAGGCCGCAGUGGGGAAUAUUGGACAAUGGGCGCAAGCCUGAUCCAGCCAUACCGCGUGGGUGAAGAAGGCCUUCGGGUUGUAAAGCCCUUUUGUUGGGAAAGAAAAGCAGCAGGUUAAUACCCCGCUGUUCUGACGGUACCCAAAGAAUAAGCACCGGCUAACUUCGUG